GUCAACAGAUGGAGUAGUCAGUGGGAUUCCAGCAAGAUCCAUGGACACGGAGGACUUGUUCUCUUGGGCUUGGAGCUUGGUACCAGAACAAACCCAAUGUGUUCUAACCAAUUCUCUCCAGGAAGCCACUAGGUGUAUAUGGGCUCUUCCAGCAGAUGAGGAUCUUAAGUAUCAUGAUCUCCAGCCAAGGGACGACGUCUAUUGGAAAAGACAUCAUCUAAUGGACUCUCUUGAGCCUCAUAGCAAGGAUCUUACCAGGUGCUGCUGACCAGUUAUUGUGCAGCUAAACUGUACAACACUAUGCUGCUUGGAAAUUUCUUCACCAGAUACCAGAAUCAUCACUCUCAAGUUCAAAUUUCCACAGAUCCGUAGGGCAUGAACACAGUGCAGCCAAGCUCUUUGCUAAGGCCUAACAUGUGUGACCUUUGCUCCAAUUCCUGAUAAGCUCUUCAUUUCCAUCUGAGAUCUCAUCAGCUGGCCUUCACUGUCUAUAUUUCUAUUAGCGUUUUGGUCACAAUCAUUUAAGUCUCUAAGAUAUUCCAAAUUUUCCUUUGUCUUCCUGUCUUCUGUGCCCUCCAAACUCUUCCAACCUCUGCCUGUUACUCAGUUCCAAAGCUGCGUCCAUAUUUUCAGGUAUCUUUAUAGCAAUGCCCCACUCGUCAGUACCAACUUUCUGUUAGGCUUUUCUUGCAUUGCUAUAAAGAAAUACCUGAAACUGGGUAACUUAUAAAGAAAAGAGGUUUAAUUGCUUCAUGGUUCUGCAGGCUGUACAGGAAACAUGAUACUGGCAUCUGCUUCUGGAGAGUGCUCUGGAAGCUUACAAUCAUGGGGGAAGACAAAGCAGAGGCUUGCAAAUCACAUGGUGAAAGCAAGAGCAAGAGAACAAGGGGGGAGGUGCUACACACUUCUAUACAACCAGAUCUCACAAGGACUCACUCACUGUCAUUAGGACAGUACCACGGAGGAUGGUGCUAAACCAUUAAUGGCAAGUCCACCCCCAUAAUCCAAUCAUCUCCACUAGGCCACACUUCCAACAUUGAGGAUUAUAUUUCAAUAUGAGAUUUAGGCAGGGACACACAUUCAAAUUGUAUCAGACAUCAAAUUUAAUAUUCUUCUGCCCAACUCCUCAAGUCCACUCAUGAAUACUGCUGACUAUACAACAACAUGCCAUCACAUCUCAACAGCUCCUAAGGAAAAAAUCUUAAUUGCAAUGACCAUCUUGUUUCUCUGUGAAAUUAAGAGAUAUUAGCAUAAGACAAGAGCCUUUCACUUCCCCAGAGGAAAUACAGGAGCUUUUGCAUUCUCACUGACAAAUCAGAUGAUGGCACUUUGUAUAGGGCUGAAGAAUCAAAUAAGAGCAUUUCAGAAUUCUAAUUUAAUCCCUUAUACCAUAUAAUGCUAAACAAAAGUGACCUGUCCUCUUUGAAUCCCUCAAAUUAUAUUAUUUGGUCUCCAAGUCUUCCUUUGGAAGAUUUCAACCAAAAGGGAGAUAGCACUUUAUUUUCUGUAGUGUUAUGAGCACCAAUCAGAAUUUCAAGACUAUCACCUCUGCUUCACUACCCCCUUAUCCCAUUUCUAAGUAGGAGAAAUACACAAAUAGUGUGUCUUGUGUAGCCCACUCAGGGACACAUUCUUGGUUUGUGCCAAGUCUGUGUUUUCAGACUAUUAGUCCUAAAGCUUGGCUAAGAAUAAAACCCACUUUAAGUUUGUUUAAGUUAUAGCAUCUGUUAUUUAACCUUUCACUUGACAGCACUUAUCACUGCAAAUCCUUAUAUAUAAAAACUUAUUUAUCUUGUUUAUUGCCUGAUUCCUCUAUUAGAAUACAUGCUGUAACAGAACAGAGGACUUUAUUCAAUGCUAUAUCCUCAGUACCCCAAACAGAGUUUGGUACAUGGUUGGCACCCAAUAAAUACUUGAUGAAUGAAUGAAAAUGUUAGUGUUCAAAAGUUUACAUUGUUAACAUUGGGAACAUUGCCAGUCCUGGCUGGAAAGGGUUGAGAAGUAAAUGUUUGCAUCACAUUGCAACCCUGAGGGAAAUCCAGGGGCAGGGAAAGCCCUUUUAGAGUUCUUCCAUGUCCUCUUCCCUGCCAGCUAAAUCCUGCAACCUCUUCUGAUGAUUGCAUGUACCCUCAUUUGGAUUCUUAUCACUUUUUUUUCCCUAAAACUACUGGCCUAAGUCUUAUAAAAUGUUCAAAAGCUUAUUGAAAUAUAACACAUAUUUAGAAAUGUAUAGAACUGAAGUGGACAGGUUAAUUUUUUACCAAGUGAGCACUUCCAUGCAAUUAAUACUAGUUCAAGAAACAAACACUGUAAACUCUCUCAUAGUUACUAUUCACCUCCUACUUCCACCUCUUCAUUGGAAUGAUACUACUUCCCUUACUUAUAACACCAUAGAUGAGUUUUCGUUGUUUUGCACUUAAUGGAAGCAAACCAUGCGUGCUCUUUUGUGUCUCACUUCUUUUGCUCAAUGUUACAUUUUGUGAGAUCCACCCAUCUUUUUGCAUGUAGCAAUAGUUCUCUCAUUUUCAUUAUUGUAUGUCAUUCAAUUAUAUGAAUAUAGCACUAUUAAUUUAUCCAUUCUACUAUUGAUGGACAUUUGAGAUUCAUUCUGUUUGGGGCUAUUAUGAAUAAUGCUGCCAUAAACAUUCCUAUUAUGUCUUUUGUGAA
rnacentral:lncRNA from 1 species